AUGGCGGCGGAGGACGUGGAGUUCGUGGACUACGAGCGCGGCGACGGCGACGAGGACGACGACGGGAUGGAGGACGAGGAGGAGGAGGAGGACGGGGAGGUCUCGGCCCGCGCGCUCCCCGUGCCCCACAUCGCCGCCCCCGCCGUGCCGCGCACCAGCAGGGGCCGCUUCGUCGGCCGCAGCCGCUCCGUCAUCGCCUCCACCCGCGACCGCUUCGACUCCAUCCCCUUCGCCGCCAGCUCCGCGCACGGCGGCCNNNNNNNNNCAAUUGAAGGAUGGAUAAUAAUUGUCUCAGGAGUCAAAGAAGAUGCAGAAGAAAGUGAUCUGUAUGAUGCUUUUGCUGAGUUUGGUGAGGUCAAGGACUUGCAUCUCAACCUGGAGCGCCGCACUGGAUAUGGCAAGGGAUAUGCAUUGGUUGAAUAUGGAAUUUUUGAGGAAGCACAAACUGCAAUCAGAAGAAUGAAUGGGACAGAGCUGCUAACAAAGACUAUCCAUGUUGAUUGGGCAUUCAACAGAGGUCCUAUACAGAACGUCAUGAGUGCAGGGCCAGCACAGCGACGAUCGAGGACUCCGCCUCGAAGGCUUGCUGCCAUGACAUACUGA
rnacentral:rRNA from 1 species